rnacentral:rRNA from 1 species
GGCGGUGUUUGGCACCUCGAUGUCGGCUCAUCACAUCCUGGGGCUGAAGUAGGUCCCAAGGGUAUGGCUGUUCGCCAUUUAAAGUGGUACGCGAGCUGGGUUUAGAACGUCGUGAGACAGUUCGGUCCCUAUCUGCCGUGGGCGCUGGAGAACUGAGGGGGGCUGCUCCUAGUACGAGAGGACCGGAGUGGACGCAUCACUGGUGUUCGGGUUGUCAUGCCAAUGGCACUGCCCGGUAGCUAAAUGCGGAAGAGAUAAGUGCUGAAAGCAUCUAAGCACGAAACUUGCCCCGAGAUGAGUUCUCCCUGAGACUUUAGGUCUCCUGAAGGAACGUUGAAGACGACGACGUUGAUAGGCCGGGUGUGUAAGCGCAGCGAUGCGUUGAGCUAACCGGUACUAAUGAACCGUGAGGCUUAACCUUACAACGCCGAAG